UAAUGAGGGAAGGAAAAGAAACUAACUAGGAUUUUUUUAGUAGCGGCGAGCGAAAAGAAAUCAAGUUCAGCACUGAGUUAUUUUGUUAUAUGAACAAAUAUAAGAUGCAGUGUAUGGAAUAUCUAUAAUCUAGUAUGAUAAAUUAACAGUCUAAGUCCUUCUUAAAUGAGGCCAUUUACCCAUAGAGGGUGCCAGGCCCGUAAGGACGUUAAUGAUUACUAGAAGAUAUUUCUUAAGAGUCGUGUUGCUUGAUAGUGCAGCACUAAUAUGGUGGUAAACUCCAUCUAAAACUAAAUAUAACCAUGAGACCGAUAGCAAACAAGUACCGUGAGGGAAAGUUGAAAAGAACUCUGAAUAGAGAGUUAAAUAGUACGUGAAACUGCUUAGAGGUUAAACCCGAUGAACCUGAAUAUCCAAUAUGAAAAAUUCAUCAUUAAUAUUAUAUUAAUAUAAUUAAUAUAAAAAUAAUGUGCAAUUUUUUCAUAUAAGGACAUUGUAAUCUGUUAAUAUAUAUUAAAAAAAAAAAUAAAAUAAAUUUAUCAUAAGUGCCGUUUGGAUCAGUUUAUAUAUUAUUAUAUUUUUUUUUAAAUAUAAUAUAUAUAAAAUCCAAUUUAAAUACGGUUACAGAUAAAUUAUUGACAGAUUUUAAAAUAUGACGCUUACAUAUAUUUAUGUUAUAAUAAUAUAGUAAUCAUGUAUUAUUAUAUUUAAUUUAUAUGCGUUCAUAUGAUUAACAAUGCUAUAGAUUUAGGAUACCUUCGGGACCCGUCUUGAAACACGGACCAAGGAGUCUAACAUGUACCCAAGCCAUUGGGCUAAUAAAAAAACCUAAAGGCAUAAUUAACUUAACUUUUUUAAAAAAAUAUGGGAUCAAUUAUAUAUAUAAUUUAUAAAUAUAUAAAUAUAUAAUAUUCCAUCCCGGGGCGUUCUAUAUAGUUAUGCAUUUUAAUAUAUUUUUAUAUAUAUUAUAUAUGUCUCUAACUAGAGCGUACCUUGAGUAUAUAUGUUGUGACCCGAAAGAUGGUGAACUAUACCUGAUCAGGUUGAAGUCAGGGGAAACCCUGAUGGAAGACCGAAACAGUUCUGACGUGCAAAUCGAUUGUCAGAAUUGGGUAUAGGGGCGAAAGACCGAUCGAACCAUCUAGUAGCUGGUUCCUUCCGAAGUUUCCCUCAGGAUAGCUGGUGCAUUUAAAUUUUAUUAAAAAAUAAUCUUAUCUGGUAAAGCGAAUGAUUAGAGGCCUUAGGGCCGAAACGACCUUAACCUAUUCUCAAACUUUAAAUGGGUAAGAACCUCACCUUUCUUGAUAUGAAGGUGAUAGGUUAUGAUAUAUUGUGCCCAGUGGGCCACUUUUGGUAAGCAGAACUGGCGCUGUGGGAUGAACCAAACGUGAUGUUACGGCGCCCAAAUUAACAACUCAUACUGAUACCAUGAAAGGCGUUGCUUGCUUAAAACAGCAGGACGGUGGACAUGGAAGUCGUAAUCCGCUAAGGAGUGUGUAACAACUCACCUGCCGAAGCAACUAGCCCUUAAAAUGGAUGGCGCUCAAGUUGUAUGCCUAUACAUCACCGCUAAAGUAUAUGAUUUAUUAAAAAAUAUACAAAAAAAAUUUAUAUAAAUUUUGAAACUCUAGUGAGUAGGAAGGUACAAUGGUGUGCGUUGAAGUGUUUGGCGUAAGCCUGCAUGGAGCCGCCAUUGGUACAGAUCUUGGUGGUAGUAGCAAAUAAUCGAAUGAGACCUUGGAGGACUGAAGUGGAGAAGGGUUUCGUGUGAACAGUGGUUGAUCACGAGUUAGUCGGUCCUAAGUUCAAGGCGAAAGCCGAAAAAUUAUUAAGUAAAUGAAAAUAAAUUAAAAAUUAUGAAAUAAAUAUAAAAUAAAAUAUAUAUAAAUAUAUAUAAAUAUAAAUAAAUAUUAAUUAUUAUACUUACAAUAUUUGAACGAAAGGGAAUACGGUUCCAAUUCCGUAACCUGUUGAGUAUACGUUUGUAAUUAAAAAUGGGCUUUUAUGCUCAUCCUGGUAACAGAAACAACCAUAAAGAAGCCGUCGAGAAAUAUCGAAAGAGUUUUCUUUUCUGUUUUAUAGUCGUACUACCAUGGAAGUCUUUCGAAGAGAGAUAUGGUAGAUGGACUAGAAGAGCAUGGCAUUUACUGCUGUGUCGAUAUUUUCUCCUCGGACCUUGAAAAUUUAUGGUAGGGUAACGCAAACUUCUUAACAGGCCGUACCGAUAUCCGCAGCUGGUCUCCAAGGUGAAGAGUCUCUAGUCGAUAGAAUA
rnacentral:rRNA from 1 species